rnacentral:rRNA from 1 species
GAUGAACGCUGGCGGCGUGCCUAAUACAUGCAAGUCGAGCGAACAGACGAGGAGCUUGCUCCUCUGACGUUAGCGGCGGACGGGUGAGUAACACGUGGAUAACCUACCUAUAAGACUGGGAUAACUUCGGGAAACCGGAGCUAAUACCGGAUAACAUGUUGAACCACAUGGUUCAACAGUGAAAGACGGUCUUGCUGUCACUUAUAGAUGGAUCCGCGCCGCAUUAGCUAGUUGGUAAGGUAACGGCUUACCAAGGCAACGAUGCGUAGCCGACCUGAGAGGGUGAUCGGCCACACUGGAACUGAGACACGGUCCAGACUCCUACGGGAGGCAGCAGUAGGGAAUCUUCCGCAAAGGGCGAAAGCCUGACGGAGCAACGCCGCGUGAGUGAAGAAGGUCUUCGGAUCGUAAAACUCUGUUAUUAGGGAAGAACAAAUGUGUAAGUAACUAUGCACGUCUUGACGGUACCUAAUCAGAAAGCCACGGCUAACUACGUG